CCCCCCCGAUGUUCAGCACCAACUGCAGACAGCAAUUUGCAUCUCACGUGCGAUAACACGUGCCGAACACAAAAAUGCGCGUGACCAAACUUCCUGAAACGUUAGUUUGAAGAAAAAAAAUAAAAUCUCUUCAAUCGUCACUAAUCAAGCUAAACUUGUAAGUUAAAUACACUCACAGUUCUUGUAGCCUUCACAAACAUUACUGCGUCACUCCAGCAGUCCAACGCAAUGCGAUUCACAGAUCAAAACUCACAAAAAAACUACGAAACGCGGGACACAGCUCACAAAAAUUACUUGAUGUUGUCCUUUAUUCGAUCUAAGCCCCGAUUAACUUUCGUUUAAGUCACUUUAUCGGACGAGCUUCUCAAAUACAACACUCACUUUUUCUGUGUGUCACACAUACACCCGCGUUCUUCUUCUCCUCGCUGACUCUCAUCGCCGAAAACCAAUCCGCCCGUCAAAAUAAAAGUCCCCCAAAAUAAUAAUGAUUUUUUUAGAUAAUAUACACCCGUUACA
ensembl:lncRNA